AGGGCACCACCAGGAGUGGAGCCUGCGGCUUAAUUUGACUCAACACGGGAAAACUCACCCGGCCCGGACACUGAAAGGAUUGACAGAUUGAGAGCUCUUUCUUGAUUCAGUGGGUGGUGGUGCAUGGCCGUUCUUAGUUGGUGGAGCGAUUUGUCUGGUUAAUUCCGAUAACGAACGAGACUCUUGCCUACUAAAUAGAUCGCCGGUUUACAAACACCGGUGAGACUUCUUAGAGGGACAGGCGGCGAUUCAGCCGCACGAAACAGAGCAAUAACAGGUCUGUGAUGCCCUUAGAUGUCCGGGGCCGCACGCGCGCUACACUGAAGUGAUCAGCGUGCAUUUUAAGCCUACUCUGCCAAGAGUGGGAAACCCAAUGAACCUUCUUCGUGAUUGGGAUAGGGGAUUGUAAUUAUUCCCCUUGAACGAGGAAUUCCCAGUAAGCGCGAGUCAUAAGCUCGCGUUGAUUACGUCCCUGCCCUUUGUACACACCGCCCGUCGCUACUACCGAUUGAAUGUUUU
rnacentral:rRNA from 1 species